GGUUCGAUUAAGUGGUCAGAUUGAACGCUGGCGGGAUGGUUUACGUUACUGCAAGUCGAACGGCAGCACGGACUUCGGUCUGGUGGCGAGCGGCGAACGGGUGAGUACGUAUCGGAACGUGCCCGGUAGCGGUGGAGUUAACUACGCGAAAGCGUAGCUAAUAUCGCAUAAUGCCCUUUCUGGGGAAAGUGGGGACCUCUCGGGCCUCGCACUAUUAGAGCGGCUGAUAUCGAUUAAAGCUUAGUUGCGGGCAACGGCCCACCAAGGCGACGAUCCGUAGCUGGUUUGAGAGGACGACCAGCCACACUGGGACUGAGACACGGCCAGACUCCCACGGGAGGCAGCAGUGGGAAUUUUUGGACAAUGGGGAAACUCCUGAUCCAGCCAUCCUGCGUGUGCGAUGAAGGCCUUCGGGUUGCAGCACUUUUGCAGGAAAGAAAACGCACGGGAUAAUACCCCGUGCAAACUGAUGGUACCUGCAGAAUAAGCACCGGCUAACUGUGCCAGCAGCCGCGGUAAUACGUAGGUGCAAGCGUUAAUCGGAAUUUGCCUGGGCGUAAAAGCGCAGGCGGUUCGAAAGAAAGACACGUGGAAAUCCCAGAGCUUAACUUUGGAACUGCAUUUUUAACUACCGAGCCAGAGUGUCAGAGGGAGGUGGAAUUCGCGUGGCAGGAAAUGCGUGAGGCGUGCGGAGGAACACUGAUGGCGAAGGCAGUUCUCCUGGGAUAACACUGACGGCUCAUGCACGAAAGCGUGGGGAGCAAACAGACGAUACUCCUGGUAGUCCACGCCUAAACGAUGUCAACUAGGGCUGUUGGGGCCUUCGGGAAUCGGUAGCGCAGCUAACGGGUGAAGUUGACCGCCUGGGGAGUACGGUCGCAAGAUUAAACUCAAAGGAAUUGACGGGACCCGCACAAGCGGUGGGAUGAUGUGGAUUAAUUCGAUGUGCAACGCGAAAAACCUUACCUACCCUUGACAUGUCUGGAAUCCCGAAGAGAUUUGGGAGUGCUCGCAAGAGAACCGGAACACAGGUGCUGCAUGGCUGUCGUCAGCUCGUGUCGUGAGAUGUUGGGUUAAGUCCCGCAACGAGCGCAACCCUUAUCGCCAGUUGCUACGAAAGGGCACUCUAAUGAGACUGCCGGCACAAAACCGAGGAAGGUGGGGAUGACGUCAAGUCCUCAUGGCCCUUGCGGUAGGGCUUCACACGUCAUACAAUGGUCGGGACAGAGGGUCGCCAACCCGCGAGGGGGAGCCAAUCCCAGAAACCCGAUCAGUCCGGAUCGCAGUCUGUAACCUGACUACUGCGUGAAGUCGGAAUCGCUAGUAAUCGCGGAUCAGCAUGUCGCGGUGAAUACGUUCCCGGGUCUUGUACACACCGCCCGUCACACCAUGGGAGUGGGUUUUACCAGAAGUAGUUAGCCUAACCGUAAGGAGGCGAUUACCACGGUAGGAUUCAUGACUGGGGUGAAGUCUGAUCAUAA
rnacentral:rRNA from 1 species